UGACGAGUCCCAAAUAGGACGAAAUGCGCAUC
rfam:Trichobilharzia regenti genome assembly, scaffold: TRE_scaffold0055914